CCCGCUGAACUUAAGCAUAUCAAUAAGCGGAGGAAAAGAAACCAACAGGGAUUGCCUCAGUAGCGGCGAGCGAAGCGGCAACAGCUCAAAUUUGAAAUCUGGCCUCGGCCCGAGUUGUAAUUUGUAGAGGAUGUUUUUGGCACGGCUCCUUCUGAGUCCACUGGAACGUGGCGCCAGAGAGGGUGAGAGCCCCGUAUAGUCGGAAGCCUAGCCUGUGUAAAACUCCUUCGACGAGUCGAGUAGUUUGGGAAUGCUGCUCUAAAUGGGAGGUAAAUGUCUUCUAAAGCUAAAUACCGGCCAGAGACCGAUAGCGCACAAGUAGAGUGAUCGAAAGAUGAAAAGCACCUUGAAAAGAGGGUUAAAUAGCACGUGAAAUUGUUGAAAGGGAAGCGCUUAUGACCAGACUUGUGUCGGGCGGAUCAUCCUGUGUUCUCACUGGUGCACUCCGCCCGAUUCAGGCCAGCAUCGGUUCUGGGGGGGGCAUAAAGGCCGCAGGAACGUAUCUCUUCGGAGUGUUAUAGCCUGUGGUGCAAUACCCCCGCUGGGACCGAGGACCGCGCAUUGCAAGGAUGCUGGCGUAAUGGUCAUCAGCGACCCGUCUUGAAACACGG
rnacentral:rRNA from 1 species